rnacentral:rRNA from 1 species
GCCAACGAUCAUACCACGUUGAAUACACCAGUUCUCGUCAGAUCAUUGAAGUUAAGCAACGUCGGGCGUGGUCGGUACUUGGAUGGGUGACCGCUUGGGAACACCACGUAUCGUUGGCUCUU